rnacentral:rRNA from 1 species
UACGUAGGGUGCAAGCGUUAAUCGGAAUUACUGGGCGUAAAGCGUGCGCAGGCGGUUCGCUAAGACAGAUGUGAAAUCCCCGGGCUUAACCUGGGAACUGCAUUUGUGACUGGCGGGCUAGAGUAUGGCAGAGGGGGGUAGAAUUUCACGUGUAGCAGUGAAAUGCGUAGAGAUGUGGAGGAAUACCGAUGGCGAAGGCAGCCCCCUGGGCCAAUACUGACGCUCAUGCACGAAAGCGUGGGGAGCAAACAGG